rnacentral:lncRNA from 1 species
UUCCAUAGAACUCUCCACCAAGGAUUUAGCCAAUCUGCCCCCUAAAAAAGCAAGCUGUAAGCAGACUUGACAGAGAAUAACCUAUUAGAAGUAGGUUUCCAGAUAUGACAAUCCUCUAAAACGCCCUGAAGAUUAGCUGAACAACCAGUAACUUUUUGGGCCCAUUCCUCUGGAAGAACACUCUUCAACUUCUCCACAUCCCACCAACCAUUCACAAAAAAAUCAGAAACAAGGGAAUUCAAAUUGAGAUCAGGAGCAAGAUCCACUAUCUGCAUCAGAGGCACAUACUGAUACAUUUAUCUCUCCAAAACUUAACCUUAUCGCCUUUCCUGAG